rnacentral:rRNA from 1 species
CUACGGGCCGCACCAGUGAGGAAUAUUGCACAAUGGGGGGAACCCUGAUGCGGCAACGCCGCGUGGAGGAUGACGCAUUUCGGUGUGUAAACUCCUUUUAUAUGUCAAGAAAAUGACGGUAGCAUAUGAAUAAGCACCGGCUAACUCCGUGCCAGCAGCCGCGGUAAUACGGAGGGUGCAAGCGUUACUCGGAAUCACUGGGCGUAAAGGACGCGUAGGCGGGCUUGUAAGUCAGGUGUGAAAUCCUACAGCUUAACUGUAGAACUGCACUUGAAACUACGAGCCUAGAGUAUGGGAGGGGCAGAUGGAAUUAGUGGUGUAGGGGUAAAAUCCGUAGAUAUCACUAGGAAUACCUAAAGCGAAGGCGAUCUCCUGGAACAUUACUGACGCUAAGGCGUGAAAGCGUGGGGAGCAAACAGGAUUAGAUACCCGUGUAGUC